rnacentral:rRNA from 1 species
UACGAAGGGGGCUAGCGUUGUUCGGAAUUACUGGGCGUAAAGCGUGCGCAGGCGGCUUCUCAAGUCAGGGGUGAAAGCCCAGAGCUCAACUCUGGAAUUGCCUUUGAGACUGAGUGGCUUGAGUACGGGAGAGGUGAGUGGAAUUCCCAGUGUAGAGGUGAAAUUCGUAGAGAUGUGGAGGAACACCGAUGGCGAAGGCAGCCUCCUGGGCCGACACUGACGCUGAUGCACGAAAGCGUGGGGAGCAAACAGG